AUGGAUCCGCCACAGCUCUGCGUCCUGGAGAGCGCCGUCGUAGCGCCCCCGCCCGCGCCGGAGACCUCCCUCCCGCUCACCUUCUUCGACGUCUACUGGCUCAACUCCCCGCCCGUGGAGCGCGUCUUCUUCUACAGCCUCACCCCCAACACCGGUGGCAAAGACGGCGUCUCCUCCGCCAUCCUCUCAACCCUCAGGACCUCGCUCGCCCAAGCCCUUCGCGCCUACUUCCCGCUCGCCGGCCGCCUCCGCCUCACGCCUGGCACGACCGACCGCUACGAGCUCCACUACCAGCCCGGCGACGGCGUCNCCUUCACCGUCGCCGAGUAUGCCGUCGACGUCGACGAGCUGGCCACCGACAAGCCGAGGGAGGUCGCCAGGAUCUUGCCGCUCGUGCCGCCUCUCUCGACGGGGGUUGGCCCGGUGCUCGCCCUGCAGGCCACCGUGCUCCGCGGCGGCCUCGCCAUCGGCAUGUCCAUGCACCAUGCCGCCUGCGAUGGCGCCUCCUCCACUCGCUUCCUCCACGCCUGGGCCGCUGCAAGCACCGGCGCCGCCGCGCCUCCUCCCCCGGUGGUCGACAGAAGUCUGGUCACCAAGGACCCGAGCUCCCGCCACAUCUACGACAUUUACGUCGGAGACCUCACGAGCACCGAGGAGAUGGAGUACGUCAAGACGUCCAGCGACAAGCUCCUCGCCACCUUCACGCUCUCCAGGGAAGACAUCCAGCGCGUCAAGGAAGUCGUGGCCGCCGCGGCCGGCGAGGCGGGCGCGCCGCUGCCGCGGUGCUCCUCCCUCGUCGCCACCUUCGGCCUCAUCUGGUCCUGCUACCAGCGAGCCAAAGACGACGACGAAGAAAGCAGCGGCGACCCAACCUACAUCCUCUUCCCCAUCGACCACCGCCCGCGGAUAAAGCCCGACCCCGUCCCGGACGAGUACCUCGGCAACUGCAUCGGCGCCGCCCUGCACGCCGCGCCCAAGGACCAACUCGCGGCGGCCGGUGCCGGUGGCAUCCUCGUCGCGUGCACGGCUGUAGCCGCGGCCAUCGAGGAGGCGAUGGGCCACAGAAGAUUCUAG
rnacentral:rRNA from 1 species